GACGAACGCUGGCGGCGUGCUUAACACAUGCAAGUCGAACGGUGAAGCGCCUUCCUUUUUGGUGGGUGUGGAUGAGUGGCGAACGGGUGAGUAACACGUGAGUAACCUGCCCCCUUCUUCUGGAUAACCGCAUGAAAGUGUGGCUAAUACGGGAUAUUCUGGGUCUGUCGCAUGAUGGGUCUGGGAAAGAUAUUGUUUCGGUGGGGGAUGGGCUCGCGGCCUAUCAGCUUGUUGGUGGGGUGAUGGCCUACCAAGGCGGUGACGGGUAGCCGGCCUGAGAGGGUGGACGGUCACACUGGGACUGAGACACGGCCCAGACUCCUACGGGAGGCAGCAGUGGGGAAUAUUGCACAAUGGGCGCAAGCCUGAUGCAGCGACGCCGCGUGAGGGAUGGAGGCCUUCGGGUUGUGAACCUCUUUCGCCAGUGAAGCAGGACUGCCUCGUUUGUGGGUGGGUUGACGGUAGCUGGAGAAGAAGCGCCGGCUAACUACGUG
rnacentral:rRNA from 1 species